rnacentral:rRNA from 1 species
AGGGUUUGAUCAUGGCUCAGGAUGAACGCUGGCGGCGUGCUUAACACAUGCAAGUCGAACGAACCUUCGGGUUAGUGGCGGACGGGUGAGUAACGCGUGAGAAUCUGCCCUCAGGAGGGGGAUAACGGUUGGAAACGACCGCUAAUACCCCAUAUGCCUACUGGUGAAAUGAAUUUCGCCUGAGGAUGAGCUCGCGUCUGAUUAGCUAGUUGGUGAGGUAAUGGCUCACCAAGGCUUCGAUCAGUAGCUGGUCUGAGAGGAUGAUCAGCCACACUGGGACUGAGACACGGCCCAGACUCCUACGGGAGGCAGCAGUGGGGAAUUUUCCGCAAUGGGCGAAAGCCUGACGGAGCAACGCCGCGUGAGGGACGAAGGCCUCUGGGCUGUAAACCUCUUUUCUCAAGGAAGAAGAUAUGACGGUACUUGAGGAAUAAGCCACGGCUAAUUCCGUGCCAGCAGCCGCGGUAAUACGGGAGUGGCAAGCGUUAUCCGGAAUUAUUGGGCGUAAAGCGUCCGCAGGCGGCUUUUCAAGUCUGCUGUUAAAGCGUGGAGCUUAACUCCAUCAUGGCAGUGGAAACUGAAAGGCUUGAGUAUGGUAGGGGCAGAGGGAAUUCCCGGUGUAGCGGUGAAAUGCGUAGAUAUCGGGAAGAACACCAGUGGCGAAGGCGCUCUGCUGGGCCAUUACUGACGCUCAUGGACGAAAGCCAGGGGAGCGAAAGGGAUUAGAUACCCCUGUAGUCCUGGCCGUAAACGAUGAACACUAGGUGUCGGGGGAAUCGACCCCCUCGGUGUCGUAGCUAACGCGUUAAGUGUUCCGCCUGGGGAGUACGCACGCAAGUGUGAAACUCAAAGGAAUUGACGGGGGCCCGCACAAGCGGUGGAGUAUGUGGUUUAAUUCGAUGCAACGCGAAGAACCUUACCAGGGUUUGACAUCCUGCGAACCUCUUAGAAAUUUGAGGGUGCCUUCGGGAAUGCAGUGACAGGUGGUGCAUGGCUGUCGUCAGCUCGUGUCGUGAGAUGUUGGGUUAAGUCCCGCAACGAGCGCAACCCACGUUUUUAGUUGCCAGCAUUUAGUUGGGCACUCUAGAAAGACCGCCGGUGAUAAACCGGAGGAAGGUGUGGAUGACGUCAAGUCAUCAUGCCCCUUACACCCUGGGCUACACACGUACUACAAUGCUACGGACAAAGGGCAGCAAACUCGCGAGAGCUAGCAAAUCCCAUAAACCGUGGCUCAGUUCAGAUCGUAGGCUGCAACUCGCCUACGUGAAGCAGGAAUCGCUAGUAAUCGCAGGUCAGCAUACUGCGGUGAAUACGUUCCCGGGCCUUGUACACACCGCCCGUCACACCAUGGAAGUUGGCCAUGCCCGAAGUCGUUACUCCAACCCUUGUGGAGGAGGACGCCGAAGGUGGGGCUAAUGACUGGGGUGAAGUCGUAACAAGGUAGCCGUA